rnacentral:snRNA from 1 species
AUACUGACCUGGCAGGGGAGAAUAGCAUGAUCACUAAGGUGGUCCUCCCAGGGUGAGGGUCAUCCAUUACACUCUGGGUUCCGCUGACCCCUGCGAUUUCCCCAAAUGCGGGGAACUCAGCUGCAUCAUUUGUGGUAGUGGUGGGACUGUGUUUGUGCUUCCCCUCC